rnacentral:tRNA from 1 species
GUAGCUCAGUUGGUUAGAGCGCCUGUCUAGUAAACAGGAGGUCAUGGGUUCAAAUCCCAUAUUUUUUUUAUUCA